GACGAACGCUGGCGGCGCGCUUAACACAUGCAAGUCGAGCGAGAACCAGGGCUUCGGCUCUGGGGACAGCGGCGAACGGGUGAGUAACACGUGAGUAAUCUGCCCUCGACACUGGGAUAGCCCGGGGAAACCCGGAUUAAUACCGGAUAGCCUUUCGAGCUCUCGGGCUCGUCAGAAAAGGAUGGCUUCGGCUUUCGGUUGAGGAUGAGCUUGCGGCGGAUUAGCUUGUUGGUGAGGUAACGGCUCACCAAGGCGACAAUCCGUAGCUGGUCUGAGAGGACGAUCAGCCACACUGGGACUGAGACACGGCCCAGACUCCUACGGGAGGCAGCAGUGGGGAAUCUUGCGCAAUGAGCGAAAGCUUGACGCAGCGACGCCGCGUGAGGGAAGAAGGCCU
rnacentral:rRNA from 1 species